rnacentral:sRNA from 1 species
AAACCGAUCUUGAUCAUAUCGUUCCUAAAAAAAUUCCGCGUGACAUUUUUUACAAAAAAAGCUUAUAUUUUAUUUCGCACAUAGAAAAGUGAAUUAAAUCUACAACUUGUGGAAAAACCUGUUGAAAAAUGGUUAAAAAGUGGAUAACUCAUGGGGAUCAAGAUAAAAACAGGGUUUUUUAGCUUAUUUUCUGAGUAUUAAUACUGCAUCAAUAAAUUAUUAAAUGUAGUUUAAUAAUCAAUAAAACUUACUGAAACAACAAUG